rnacentral:rRNA from 1 species
GAAUGGUCCGGCGAGUUAUAGUCACUGGCGAGGUUAAGCAAUUCAGUUGUGGAGCCGAAGGGAAACCGAGUCUUAAUAGGGCGUCGAGUCAGUGGCCAUAGACCUGAAACCGGGUGACCUAUCCAUGAGCAGGUUGAAGUUGGUGUAAAAGCCAAUGGAGGACCGAACCCACGUUCGUUGCAAUGACCGGGGAUGACUUGUGGAUAGCGGAGAAAUUCCAAUCGAACUCGGAGAUAGCUGGUUCUCCCCGAAAUAGCUUUAGGGCUAGCGUUGUGUUAGUUUACCGGAGGUAGAGCACUGAAUUGGCUAAGGGGCGAUGAGCUUACUGAACCUUAUCAAACUUCGAAUGCCGGAUAAAUGGUGCACAGCAGUCAGACAGUGUGAGAUAAGUUUCAUUGUCAAGAGGGAAACAGCCCAGACCCACAGCUAAGGUCCCAAAUGAACGCUAAGUGGAAAACGAUGUGGGGUUGCAAAAACAACCAGGAUGUUGGCUUAGAGGCAGCCACUCAUUAAAAGAGUGCGUAAUAGCUCACUGGUCGAGUGACCCUGCGCGGAAAAUAUAACGGGGCUAAGCGUCCAACCGAAGCUUGGGAUGUCUAAGGACAUGGUAGGGGAGCGUCGUGUAUAGGGAGAAGCAUGAGCGAGAGCACAUGUGGACAGUACACGAGUGAGAAUGCCGGAAUGAGUAGCGAGAAUUAUGUGGGAAUCAUAAUGGCCGAAAAUCUAAGGUUUCUUGGGGAAGGUUCGUCCGCCCAAGGUAAGCCGGGAGCUAAGGCGAGGCCGAAAGGCGUAGUCGAUGCACAUACGGUUGAAAUUCC